UCUGAAUGUCAAAGUGAAGAAAUUCA
rnacentral:piRNA from 6 species